rnacentral:rRNA from 1 species
UGGGGAAUAUUGGACAAUGGGGGAAACCCUGAUCCAGCGACGCCGCGUGUGUGAAGAAGGCCUGCGGGUUGUAAAGCACUUUUAGUGGGGACAAAAAGCCACGGAUUAAUACUCUGUGGUCUUGAUUUAACCCAAAGAAAAAGCACCGGCUAACUCUGUGCCAGCAGCCGCGGUAAUACAGAGGGUGCGAGCGUUAAUCGGAAUUACUGGGCGUAAAGCGCGCGUAGACGGUUUUGUAAGUCAGAUGUGAAAUCCCUGGGCUCAACCUGGGAACUGCAUUUGAGACUGCAUGGCUAGAGUAUGGAAGAGGGAAGUGGAAUUUCCGGUGUAGCGGUGAAAUGCGUAGAUAUCGGAAGGAACACCAGUGGCGAAAGCGACUUCCUGGUCCAAUACUGACGUUCAUGUGCGAAAGCGUGGGGAGCAAACA